rnacentral:tRNA from 1 species
GUUAUUUUGGCAGAGAAUAUGCGUUGGAUUUAGGAUCCUAUUAAAUAGAAGGAAUCUAUA